rnacentral:rRNA from 1 species
UACGUAGGGUGCAAGCGUUAAUCGGAAUUACUGGGCGUAAAGGGUGCGUAGGCGGUCGGGUAAGUCUGAUGUGAAAUCUCACAGCUUAACUGUGAAACUGCAUUGGAUACUAUCCGGCUCGAGGAAUGGAGGGGAGACUGGAAUACUUGGUGUAGCAGUGAAAUGCGUAGAUAUCAAGUGGAACACCAGUGGCGAAGGCGAGUCUCUGGACAUUUCCUGACGCUGAGGCACGAAAGCCAGGGGAGCAAACGGG